rnacentral:rRNA from 1 species
UACGUAGGGUGCAAGCGUUAAUCGGAAUUACUGGGCGUAAAGCGUGCGUAGACGGUUAUGUAAGUCGGGUGUGAAAGCCCCGGGCUCAACCUGGGAAUUGCAUUCGAGACUGUGUAGCUAGGGUACGGAAGAGGGAAGCGGAAUUUCAGGUGUAGCGGUGAAAUGCGUAGAUAUCAGGAGGAACACCGAUGGCGAAGGCAGAUCUCUGGGCCGUAACUGACGCUGAGGAGCGAAAGCGUGGGGAGCGAACAGG